ACCUGGAGAUAGCUGGUUCUCUCCGAAAUAGCUUUAGGGCUAGCCUCAAGUGAUGAUUAUUGGAGGUAGAGCACUGUUUGGACGAGGGGCCCCUCUCGGGUUACCGAAUUCAGACAAACUCCGAAUGCCAAUUAAUUUAACUUGGGAGUCAGAACAUGGGUGAUAAGGUCCGUGUUCGAAAGGGAAACAGCCCAGACCACCAGCUAAGGUCCCAAAAUAUAUGUUAAGUGGAAAAGGAUGUGGCGUUGCCCAGACAACUAGGAUGUUGGCUUAGAAGCAGCCAUCAUUUAAAGAGUGCGUAAUAGCUCACUAGUCGAGUGACACUGCGCCGAAAAUGUACCGGGGCUAAACAUAUUACCGAAGCUGUGGAUUGUCCUUUGGACAAUGGUAGGAGAGCGUUCUAAGGGCGUUGAAGCAUGAUCGUAAGGACAUGUGGAGCGCUUAGAAGUGAGAAUGCCGGUGUGAGUAGCGAAAGACGGGUGAGAAUCCCGUCCACCGAUUGACUAAGGUUUCCAGAGGAAGGCUCGUCCGCUCUGGGUUAGUCGGGUCCUAAGCUGAGGCCGACAGGCGUAGGCGAUGGAUAACAGGUUGAUAUUCCUGUACCACCUAUAAUCGUUUUAAUCGAUGGGGGGACGCAGUAGGAUA
rnacentral:rRNA from 1 species